rnacentral:lncRNA from 1 species
ACUGUCGCCGGUGACCGUGUUGCCUCCGAUCCGCCGCCGGGCCUGGUCGCCCUUUACACGCCCUUUGCCGAUGCCGGUCUUGUUCUUCCGCUUCCAUCUUUGGUGGUCGAGGCGAUGUACCACUGCGGCGUUGCCAUUUCACAGUUUCCUCCGACGGCCAUCGACCGCCUGGUGAUCUUUGACCUUCUCUUGCGUCGCGCCGGCUGCCAGGUCUCUCU